CUCUCCUAUCCUUUUCAGGCAGCGUUUGCUGCCUGAAAGCCUUUAUUUCCCUUUCUCUCCCUCCAAUAAAGGGCUCAUGACUAUGUAGCAAGAUACAUCUCUCUUCAUGAGACAACUGCUGGCAACUUGUUCAAUCUGCAGACAGUCUUAAAAAUCAAAUUCAGAAGUGAUGAAACCAAGGGUUUAGGCAAUUUCAUCUCUUUCAAAAGAUCUGGGCUGCCUGGGCAACUAUGCACUAAGAUUAAAUGGUGGAAUCCAAGUACUGCUCGCUACAAUGUGAAGCCUAGAUCUGGCCGCGUCCUUCUGACCCUCCAUAGCCACAAAGUUACUGGAAUGAUAAACCAAAGAUUUUCUCCCAUCAUGUGGAUAGCCUCCUAAUGAUUCACAUUGGUUUUGGCUCAGAAACAAGGUAAAUUGCUUCCCAAGAACUGGGAAUUUUCAAGCCAAAGACUAAUUUGGCUUCCUCCUCACCUGCUGCUGCAGGCUCUUCAGCCACUUCCCACU